rnacentral:sRNA from 1 species
GGCUGGUCUAAGUGGUGUUUACAAUUGAUAGAUCAUAACCAGUUACAGAGUUCUCUGUUCCUUCUCCACUCCCACUGCUUCACUUGAGAAACCUAAA